CUAUGUCAAAGCUAGAAAGCUAAAUGAACCUCAAACUACUUCGUUUGAUUAUUACUUAACGAAAAAUCCAUGGCUGCGAUGCGUUGUUAUCUGCAUUGUCCUCCAGGAUGGGUGUGUGCACAUUGAACUGCAGCAGGAAGAACAGAUGAAGCAUGUUCUGAAAUGUUUUUUCAAGCAUCGUGACAGAGGAUUUGCUGUAACUCAGGGCUGUUAAAAGAUGAAUCCUCCUCCAUCUGAUCUCCUGACAGCUCCAGAAGAAAAACUGUCUUUGAAGCAGCAUUUGGACAGCUAUGUCACCGUUGAGGAAACUGAGACUUUCUGCUGCUUCCAUUCACUGCAGUGUUUUCUACAACAGCUAUAGCGUGCUGCACACUUAAAUGGGAAAACAUGUAUAAUAAGAAGAAAACUGUUGUUUCCACUAUUGUUAGUUCCAAUUUAGUUAC